rfam:Apis mellifera strain DH4 linkage group 1, whole genome shotgun sequence.
AAAUCGGUCCUUCUCAGGACCAUCAAUUUUUAUAACGAAGAACAAU